UACGGGGGGGGCAAGCGUUGUUCGGAAUUACUGGGCGUAAAGGGCUCGUAGGCGGCCAACUAAGUCGGACGUGAAAUCCCCAGGCUCAACCUGGGAACUGCGUCCGAUACUGGAUGGCUUGAAUUCGGGAGAGGGAUGCAGAAUUCCAGGUGUAGCGGUGAAAUGCGCAGAUAUCAGGAGGAACACCUAUGGCGAAGGCAGCUCGCUGGGACGGUAUUGACGCUGAGACGCGAAAGCGUGGGGAGCGAACAGG
rnacentral:rRNA from 1 species